UCUGAAAUAUUGAAUUAUUUUAACAUUCCGAUAAAGGUAUGCAUCUACCGCUAAGAGCUCUAACAUUAGGGCGAUCACAGAAGCACUGCGGAAUAUCACAAGCACUUGGGCGAUUCAAUUUGUGAACUGUCGGGUUGCUGCACGUGGGUUCUGC